rnacentral:rRNA from 1 species
UACGAAGGGGGCUAGCGUUGUUCGGAUUUACUGGGCGUAAAGCGCACGUAGGCGGCUUGUUAAGUGAGGGGUGAAAUCCUGGAGCUCAACUCCAGAACUGCCUUUCAUACUGGCAAGCUAGAGUCCGGAAGAGGUGAGUGGAACUCCUAGUGUAGAGGUGGAAUUCGUAGAUAUUAGGAAGAACACCAGUGGCGAAGGCGGCUCACUGGUCCGGUACUGACGCUGAGGUGCGAAAGCUAGGGGAGCAAACGGG